rnacentral:rRNA from 1 species
GAGUGCGAUCAUAUCUGCACUAAUGCACCGAUGCACCGGAUCUAUCAAAAUUCCAAAAUUAAGCGUGCUUGAGAAGAAUUGUAUUAGGACAUGUGACUUCCCGGUAAGUUUUCGUCUUGUAAUAC